GCGUGUGUGUGUGCGCGCGCGCUUAGAGUAAAGCAGCUCAUCAUCUCAGAGGGACUGCAGAGACACACACACACACAGGCGGAGCAGUAGAAUAAUCGAUGCCGCAAUAAAGCGCAGUUUCUCCGGCGAGAGCUCGAGUAGGUGACGCGCAGUGAAGAUGGGGAACCGCGGGAUGGAGGACCUGAUUCCGCUGGUCAACCGCAUGCAGGAUGCCUUCUCCGCCAUCGGCCAGAACGCAAACCUGGACCUGCCGCAGAUCGCGGUGGUGGGCGGACAGAGCGCCGGGAAAAGCUCCGUGCUCGAGAACUUCGUGGGCAAGGAUUUCCUCCCGCGUGGAUCCGGCAUCGUCACCCGUCGUCCUCUUGUCCUGCAGCUUAUCAACUGUCCCACAGAAUAUGCUGAAUUUCUUCACUGUAAGGGGAAAAAGUUCACGGAUUUCGAUGAGGUUCGUCAGGAGAUCGAGGCGGAGACGGAUCGAGUCACGGGCCAGAAUAAAGGCAUCUCUCCUGUCCCCAUUAACCUGCGCGUCUACUCUCCAAACGUGUUGAACCUGACGCUGGUGGAUCUGCCGGGAAUGACUAAAGUGCCGGUGGGAGAUCAGCCUGCAGACAUCGAGCACCAGAUUAAAGACAUGCUGAUGCAGUUUGUGACUAAAGAGAACUGCCUGCUGCUGGCCGUGUCGCCCGCUAACUCUGAUCUCGCUAACUCUGAUGCCCUGAAGAUCGCCAAAGAAGUCGACCCGCAGGGUCUGAGGACCAUCGGUGUCAUCACUAAACUGGAUCUGAUGGAUGAAGGAACGGAUGCUCGCGAUAUCCUGGAGAACAAGCUGCUGCCGCUGCGGAGAGGCUACAUUGGUGUGGUGAACCGCAGUCAGAAAGACAUUGACGGAAAGAAGGACAUUAACGCUGCGAUGGCGGCCGAGAGGAAGUUUUUUCUGUCUCAUCCCAGUUACAGACACCUGGCCGACCGCAUGGGGACUCCAUACCUGCAGAAGACACUCAACCAGCAACUGACCAAUCAUAUCCGCGACACGCUGCCUGGGCUGCGCGCUAAGCUCCAGAGCCAGCUUCUGUCCAUCGAGAAGGAAGUGGAGGAAUACAAGAACUUCCGUCCAGAUGACCCGUCCAGGAAGACCAAAGCCCUGCUGCAGAUGGUGCAGCAGUUCUCAGUGGACUUUGAGAAGCGUAUCGAGGGUUCAGGAGAUCAGAUAGACACCUAUGAGCUUUCUGGAGGAGCUCGAAUCAACCGCAUCUUCCAUGAGCGAUUCCCCUUCGAGCUGGUGAAGAUGGAGUUUGAUGAGAAGGAGCUGCGUAAAGAGAUCAGCUACGCCAUCAAGAACAUCCACGGCAUCAGAACGGGCCUCUUCACGCCGGACAUGGCCUUUGAGACCAUUGUGAAACGGCAGAUCGGGAAGAUUAAAGAGCCGUGCCAGAAAUGCGUGGACAUGGUCAUUUCUGAGCUAGUCAAUACGGUUAGGCAGUGUACCAAGAAGCUGGCCCAGUAUCCUAUGCUGAGAGAAGAGAUGGAGCGGAUCGUCACACAGCACAUCCGCGACCGCGAGAGCCGCACUAAAAAUCAGGUGCUGCUGUUGAUUGAUAUCGAGCUGGCGUACAUGAACACCAACCAUGAGGACUUCAUCGGAUUUGCCAAUGCUCAACAGAGAAGCAGUCAGAUUAAGAAGAAAGCAGCUGGGAAUCAGGAUGAGAUCAUGGUGAUCAGGAAGGGCUGGCUGACUAUCAAUAACAUUGGCAUCAUGAAGGGCGGAGCUAAAGAGUACUGGUUUGUGCUGACGGCCGAAUCACUGUCCUGGUACAAGGAUGACGAGGAGAAAGAGAAGAAGUACAUGCUGCAGGUGGACAAUCUGAAGUUCAGAGAUGUGGAGAAGGGCUUCAUGUCCAGCAAACACAUCUUUGCCCUCUUCAACACUGAGCAAAGGAACGUGUAUAAGGACUACCGUCAACUGGAGCUGGCCUGUGAGAGUCAGGAAGAGGUGGACGGCUGGAAAGCUUCAUUCCUGCGUGCUGGAGUUUAUCCUGAGCGUGUGGUGGAGAAGGAGAAGAAUGACGCAGGCGAAGAGAACGGUUCCGACGGAUUCAUGCACUCCAUGGACCCUCAGCUGGAGAGGCAGGUGGAGACCAUCCGAAACCUGGUGGACUCCUAUAUGGCCAUCGUCAACAAGACCGUACGAGACCUGAUACCCAAGACCAUCAUGCAUCUGAUGAUCAAUAAUACAAAGGAGUACAUCAACGCGGAGCUGCUGGCUUCACUGUACUCGUGUGGAGAUCAGAACACACUGAUGGAGGAGUCUGCUGAGCAGGCGCAGCGGCGGGACGAGAUGCUCCGCAUGUACCACGCUCUCAAAGAGGCGCUCAACAUCAUUGGGGACAUCAGCACCACCACCAUCUCCACCUCUCUGCCUCCACCCGUGGACGACUCCUGGCUACAGGUGCAGCGCACUGGCUCUGGAGGAAGGUCUCCGGCCACCAGCCCAACCCCUCAAAGACGGGCUCCACCUCCAGGGCCUCCAGCUCGCCCAGGUUCCCGUGGUUCGGCCCCAGGGCCCCCAGCUGCAGGUGGGCCACCUGUUCCCUCCCGCCCCGGAGCCUCUCCGGACCCCUUCGGCGGACCUCCUCCUACGGUCCCAUCCCGUCCUAACCGCGCCCCACCCAGUGUGCCCAGCCGACGACCCCCGGCAUCACCUACGCGACCAUACUGACCCACAGACUCCUCCCGCUUAGACUAUUAGCCCCUCCCACACCCGUGACAGACAACGAGGACAGACACGCCCACCCAGCCAGAGCUCCUCCCCUUCCUUCCUGCUCCUCAUCACUAAUACACAACAUACACACUGAUUCAACAACUCUACAACCCUCUGUCACAAGUUUUACAUUUAUGCUAUUAAUAUUAUUAUAAUUAUUUAGCUUAGGCGUCUCAAACUCAUAUAUUCAAGUGUAUAUAAUAGUCAGAAAUGAACUACUGAUAAUAAUGUAAAGCAUUGUAGGCCAAACUAAAAUUUGAUGAAUGAAAUGAUGCAUUUUAAAUGUUUAUGAACUCAAUCUCUUUGACAGAAGGUUGAUGAGUUUUAGAUGCCUGUUCGUGAUAUUCAACAAUUAAAAUGCCUACUCUUCCUUAAACAAUAAGCUUGAUACACUUCAAAAAAAUGAUCUUAUUGGUAUAUUCAUCUUAAAUCAAGACACAUUUACUAGAGAAGCAAUUUUAUUUGGGCUUGUUUUCUAAAAUUUUUAACAAUAAUUAUAAAGUUUACGCUUGAAUCAAUUAAAAAAAUCAGUCAACAAGGUCAGAAAAAUAACCAUAAUUCAACAGAAAUCACAUUUUUUCUAACCCAAUGCCAUUUUUAUUCAGUUUUAAACCAAAAACUUAUUUAAUUUCAUUAAUAUCUUCAUUACAUUGCAUCUUAAGUAAAUGUACCUUGAUGUGAGAAUGAUUUUCAGAACAAAUUUUUUUUUUGCAGUGUAGCAAAGGUCAAACGAAUGACGGCAGGGUCUGAUGAAUGCAUUCCUGUCCGAUUUCUGUUGCUUUAUUUAUUUUCUAUCAUCUCAAGCUUCUUUUGGUUAUCCGAUGCUUGAUCUUCUGCCCUAUAAGCGAUGCAUUAUCUCUCCAAAGUGUGUGCUGGAGCUUGACGAUAACUGCAUCUUCUGAAUGUGCUGCUGUGUGUCUGUGUUUCUGUACAUUACUAUUGGCUCUGUUUUGUUUUUGUUCUGUAUGUGCGUCGGCCUGCAGUGGUCCCUGAGCUUACGGGCCAGAAGACGACACCAAAUUCCUGAAGGCCAGUCAAACAAAAGCAGCCCUUCUCAGACCCUUCUCUCCACGUGACCCUUAUCUGCUCCUCUUCACUUCUUCUUCUUCUGUUUUCCCCACAUUGAGUAAAAAAAAAAGCCCAACAGAACCAACAUCAACCCAAGCAAAAAGACCAGACGUGAUGAUUCCUGCAUCGUCUGCUGGAGGAGACGACUUUGAGAAAUGUGUUAAAUUUAUCGUGAUAUCAUAACCUUCUAGAAGCUCAUUGUGUUAAAUUCAUGACUUACUCACCUGUUUUAAACCUGUUUUAUCCAUUUACUUUCUAUAUAGAACUGGUACUUUGAAGAAUAUUGGUAACCAAACAGUUUUGGAACCCAUUGACUGACAGUGGAUUUGAAACUGUUUGACUGAGCUGGGUGGAUUACAAAUUACAUGACAAGAUUAACAGUUUAUAUUACCGACUAAUAUUGUUGUGUAACUUGUAACCAGUAAUUUAUUACAGUUCAAAAGCAAUCCAAAAGUAGUCAGAUUACAUUACCAUAAAUGCGUAAUCUAAGAGAUUAUAUUACAGACUAAUAUUGUCAUGUAAUUUGUAAUUAGUAAUUGAUCACAGUUCAGAAGUAAUCUAAAUGUAAUCCAAAAGUAGUCGGAUUACAUUACCAUAAAUGCGUAUUCUAAGAGGUUAAAUUACUGACUAAUAUUGUCAUGUAAUUUGUAAUCAGUAAUUGAUUACAGUACAAAAGUAAUCUAAAAGUAAUCCAAAAGUUGUCAGAUUACAUUAACAAAUGUGUAAUCCAGAGGAUUACAUUACCGACUAAUAUUGUCAUGUAAUUUGUAAUCUGUAAUUGAUUACAGUUCAAAAGUAAUCUAAAAGUAAUCCAAAAGUUGUCAGAUUACAUUACCAUGAAUGUGUAAUCCAGCAGAUUCUAAUACUAAUAUUUUCAUGUAAUUUGUAAUCAGUAAUUGAUCACAGUUUAAAAGUAAUCUAAAUGUAAUCCAAAAGUAGUCAGAUUACAUAAACAAACGUGUAAUCCACAGGAUUAUAUUACCGACUAAUAUUGUCAUGUAAUUUGUAAUCUGUAAUUGAUUACAGUUCAAAAGUAAUCUAAAAGUAAUCCAAAAGUUGUCAGAUUACAUUACCAUGAAUGUGUAAUCCAGCAGAUUAUAAUACUAAUAUUUUCAUGUAAUUUGUAAUUAGUAAUUGAUCACAGUUUAAAAGUAAUCUAAAUGUAAUCCAAAAGUAGUCAGAUUACAUAAACAAAUGUGUAAUCCACAAGAUUAUAUUACCGACUAAUAUUGUCAUGUAAUUUGUAACCAGUAAUUAAUUACAGUUCAAAAGUAAUCUAAAUGUAAUCCAAAAGUAGUCAGAUUACAUUAUCACAAAUGCGUAAUCUAAGAGAUUAUAUUUUUUGGUUACAUUUAGAUCUAGAUUACACAUUUAUGUAAUUUCACUACUAUUUGAUUACAUUUAGAUGUCUCUGCUAAAAAAUAAACAAAGAUUCAAUUUGAAUUCUCUGCGAAUAAAGUAAUAUACAAAUAUUAAAAAAAGAAAAAGAGGAGAAUUAAUGAAUCAUAAAUAACAAUAUGCCGAUGUGUAAAUAACAUGUAAUCAUGUAAUCCAUAAAAGUAACUGUAAUCUGAUUUCAAGUAUUUUAAAAAGUUUACUUUAAGUACAAGUAGUUGAUAUUUGUAAUCAGAUUACAUGUAAUCCAUUACCACCCAGCUCUGCUAUUUGAUUACCAACAUUUUUCAAAAUAUCUUUCUCCAAAGCCAUGUACUCCCACACUCCAAAAAAAAGUCUCAAUCAGUAUAUCAUCUUUUUUUAUUACUGAAAUGUUAAGAUGUUGUGUAGAUUAAAACCAGACAAAUGUGAUAAUAUAAAGGCUUUCAGGUACGCAUGUUCACCCUUCAUAAUCAGCAACCAUUCUUUCAUUUAGUGAAAACUGAAUCUUUAGUGAGGCUGGACUGAAUUAGAGAGUGCAAUAUAACCAUCGGUCAGACGAAUCUACACGCUGACCACACAUUCAUGCCAUUGAAAACAUACUAGUGCAGUUUUAGGGUGAACAGACGUUUGUUUGUGUGUGUUUACAAACCUGUUGAAUUCAUUCAGUUUGAGGAUAUUUUCCCCCACACACAGGCUGUGUUUGGAAUUUAAUACUCGCUUACUGUAUAUACAGUAUAUAUUGUGUACUGCUUACUAUAUUUGCAUGUGAAAGUGCACUGUUCAAUGCUAUGUAAAUGGUAGCGUGCAUGUUUGAGCCAUGCGUUUGUCUGAUCAGGCAAGAUGAUUAAAAAGCUGCACAUUACACGCACAUGCAUAUGCAGAAUAUUUGCAUACUGUAUAUAAUAUAUACUGCAGAAAUAGUAACAGUAGUAUGACAGUCUAAACAUAGCCACAUUUGAUUAAAGGUGCUGCAAGCCAUUUUAGUUGAAACACAUUAUUAAAAUUUUUUGUAAUUAGACAAAAAUAUGACUGGGGUCCAUAAAGAGAUGUUAUAAUGGCAAAAAAA